UUAAAAAGCUCGUAGUUGAAUUUCGGGAUCAAUAUUUCGGUCAUGCCGUUGGUAUGCACUGUUAUCAUUGAUUUCUCACCUUCUAAAGAACCGUAAUGCCAUUAAUUUGGCGUUACGGGAAAUUAGGACUGUUACCUUGAAAAAAUUAGAGUGUUUAAAGCAGGCUCACGCUUGAAUACAUUAGCAUGGAAUAAUGAAAUAGGACAUCCGAUUCUAUUUUGUUGGUUUCUAGGAUCGAUGUAAUGAUUAAUAGGGAUAGUUGGGGG
rnacentral:rRNA from 1 species